rnacentral:lncRNA from 1 species
AGUCUAGCUGUUUUCCCAUCCUUAAAACAACUUCAACUUAAACUGCCGAACAAUUGCCUUGUUCGACUCAUCAUUCACUGUUUUUAAACAAAUAAACCUCUUAGUCUAUCUUUAUUUCUAAUCCUUUAGAUCUGUUGAGUAAUCCUAGAGUCCUUGUGGACUUGAUCCCUAAGUACUGCAACUGAACCUCUUAUUUGAGAGAGUAAUUCACUCCUUAGGGUAAUUUGGGUGGUAUCAACUGCACUCGAAGCUUUCCAAUACUCAAACUGACGCAGAGCCCUCCUAUAGUUCUUUGAGUGCUUAGUAAGCCACAGAGAUUUCUCCUCUUCAAUACUGACUUCAGUAACCUCCCGACUGACCUCAUCACCAUUCUUAACACCUGCUCCUGACUCUUCACUAAUCUCCCCUUCCUCCAAUUGAGUUUCACCCUCACCCACUAACUUUCCAACUGCAUCAGACACACCACCAAUACUCAACCCUUUACCUCCGAAG